AUAACGAUCUCCUGGUUCUGCUCAUUUCACUCAGCAUCAGUUCAUGUAAGUCUUUCCAGGCCUUUCUGAAAUCAUCCUGUUAGUCAUUUCUUACAGAACAAUAUAUUUCAUAUAUCAUAACUUGUUCAGCCAUUCUCUUUUUUUUUAUUUAAUGAUUACUUUAUAAUGACAACAUUAUUCCUUGCACUCGUUUCUUUUCCGAUUUUUUUCCCCCUCCCUCCCUCCACCCCCUCCCCUAGAUGGCAAGCAGUCCUUUAUAUGUUGGAUAUGUUGCAGUAUAUCCUAGAUACAAUAUAUGUUUGCAGAACCGAACAGUUCUCUUGUUGCAUAGGGAGAAUUGGAUUCAGAAGGUAUAAAUAACCCGGGAAGAAAAACUAAAAUGCAGAUAGUUCACAUUUGUUUCCCAGUGUUCGUUCUUUGGGUGUAGCUGCUUAUGUCUGUCAUUUAUCAAUUGAAACUUAGUUAGGUCUCUUUGUCAAAGAAAUCCACUUCCAUCAAAAUAUGUCCUCAUACAAUAUCGUUGUCGAAGUGUAUAAUGAUCUCCUGGUUCUGCUCAUUUCACUUAGCAUCAGUUCAUGUAAGUCUCGCCAGUCCUCUCUGUAUUCAUCCUGCUGGUCAUUUCUUUUUUUUUUUUUUUUUU